rnacentral:rRNA from 1 species
UACAGAGGGUGCGAGCGUUAAUCGGAAUUACUGGGCGUAAAGCGUGCGUAGGCGGUUCGUUAAGUCUGUUGUGAAAGCCCCGGGCUCAACCUGGGAAUGGCAAUGGAUACUGGCGAGCUAGAGUGUGUCAGAGGAUGGUGGAAUUCCCGGUGUAGCGGUGAAAUGCGUAGAGAUCGGGAGGAACAUCAGUGGCGAAGGCGGCCAUCUGGGACAACACUGACGCUGAGGCACGAAAGCGUGGGGGAGCAAACAGG